GAGCCUUUGUGUCUUAGAAUCGGAAGCAGAGGACUCUGUUCCUG
rnacentral:sRNA from 1 species